CGCAUCGGUCGCAUUGCCCGAGUAACCGGACACGUGAAGUCGAUAACCAGUCUCUUCGGAAUCUACCGUGAAAUGCUCGUACUCGGCGUGCCAGUGCACGCCAUAGGUGUCGAUCAAAUCGACUCGUAAUCUGCUACAAUUGUCGCGGGUGCGAUCAAAAUCAAUCGCACCGUCGAUUCUACGAGCCACAACAAUCCAACCGGCGCGGCAGGAAGCUAAUAAAGGUGUUCCGGGACCAGGCGCUAACAAAGUCAAACCAUCGCGCUCUUCACAAUUGCCCGGAAGCGAAUCUACCAUGAGACGGCAGUCCUUAAUAACAUGGUGUGUGUACCUAUACAUAUAUAAUACACAUGCGUUUAUGGAAUGCGUGAGAGUAGGGCCACAGCUGUCGACUCGUAUGGCUAUGGUCGCCAGCGUGUGUCAAAUACCACAGACACUAAGAAAGUCGAAGCGCAAGGAGCGGAAAGUAUUUAAGAAGGAAUUGGGGGAGCCCGGGCCUGAGGGGCACAUAUAUGCAACCCAGAGGCCCGUUGUGCGGGCGGGGCAAGAGGAAGGGAAGAGGAGGUGGAGAAGCAGCUGCCAAACGGCAAAACGAGAAACAGGAAUCAAGCAGCUGGCCGCCUCGUGCAAAGCGCAGGUGCACCGAUCACGCCCCCCCCUUUCUUCUUCCUGCCGUAAAUACUAAAUGGUAGCAGCAGCCAUUAUCUACACGGACGCCCGUUGUUGGCGCGCGAGCGAGCACAUGCCGAGCCCUUCGGCCCUUCGAUGUGUGUGCAUACGUAUACGUGGUGGAUACGCUCGCCGUCACCACGAAAUCGAUCUCGAGACGUAAGCGAAAAAAAUCGGCUGUAGCCAUUGAGCGGCACGCGCGCAUCUAGGAAUCCCGUCGGAAUCGCCGAUGGCGCUAUCAAAGAUAUAUAUAUAUAUCAUAUACGCAUAUCCUUAUGUAAGAUAUUAUCUUGUAGUUUAUAUGCGUAUAAAAGAGAAAAUAAAAUUUGAUUUAUAGAUAA